rnacentral:piRNA from 1 species
UAGAACCAAGAUAGUCUUGUUACAGGGCUC